CGGGAUGUAGCGCAGCUUGGUAGCGCAUCCGCUUUGGGAGCGGAAGGUCGCAGGUUCGAAUCCUGUCAUCCCGA
rnacentral:tRNA from 2 species